rnacentral:rRNA from 1 species
GGCAGYCCUGAUCWUSCAUAUCGCCUGURUCCUGAUSUACCUCAUGGCUGCUAUGAGCUGCUUGCAGUYGUGAGGGUMGUUAUSUACGUUCAUCCCUGCAUGAUAAUGACGAGUAACCUGCRUGAAGAAGCACCCGGCUAACUCCGUGCCAGCAGCCGCGGUAAUACGGAGGGUGGYGUACCGUURAUCGGAAUUACUGGCCGUAAAGCGCUACGUAGGCGGUGUUGUUAAGCUUAGAUGUGAAAUCCCCAGCGGCUCAACCUUGGAASKGCMUUUAAUACUGCYAGACUAGAGUCCUGAGAGAGGUGAGUGGAAUUCCGWGUGUAGCAGGUGAAAUCGUAGAKAUCUCGGAGGAACACCAGUGCGAAGCAGAGCUCACUGGCUCGAGACUGACGCUCGAKGUGCGAAAGUGUGGGUAGCGAAACAGGAUUAGAUACCCUGGUAGUCCACACCGUAAACGCAUGU